CCUGACAGUGGAUAUAUCUCCUUGAAUCCUUCAUCUUCCUCCGUACAGACAACGGCAGGAUGGCUGGAAGGCUUGGUUUAGGAACUCCAAGGAAGAAAGGUAGAUGAAAAAGGAUAUAUAGAAGAGAAAAGAUAGCGGCACUAGGAUUAGGACCUCUUCUAAAUUUUUUUAAAAUAUAAAAAAGAGAUCUGUGAAGGAAUAUGGUAUCGUGCUAGGGUUAGUACCUCCCCUAAACUUAUAGAGAAGAGAAAGAAGGUGAGAGAG
rnacentral:lncRNA from 1 species